rnacentral:rRNA from 1 species
CCGGGGGGGGGUGCUAUACAUGCAAGUCGAGCGGACAGAAGGGAGCUUGCUCCCGGAUGUUAGCGGCGGACGGGUGAGUAACACGUGGGUAACCUGCCUGUAAGACUGGGAUAACUCCGGGAAACCGGAGCUAAUACCGGAUAGUUCCUUGAACCGCAUGGUUCAAGGAUGAAAGACGGUUUCGGCUGUCACUUACAGAUGGACCCGCGGCGCAUUAGCUAGUUGGUGAGGUAACGGCUCACCAAGGCGACGAUGCGUAGCCGACCUGAGAGGGUGAUCGGCCACACUGGGACUGAGACACGGCCCAGACUCCUACGGGAGGCAGCAGUAGGGAAUCUUCCGCAAUGGACGAAAGUCUGACGGAGCAACGCCGCGUGAGUGAUGAAGGUUUUCGGAUCGUAAAGCUCUGUUGUUAGGGAAGAACAAGUGCAAGAGUAACUGCUUGCACCUUGACGGUACCUAACCAGAAAGCCACGGCUAACUACGUGCCAGCAGCCGCGGUAAUACGUAGGUGGCAAGCGUUGUCCGGAAUUAUUGGGCGUAAAGGGCUCGCAGGCGGUUUCUUAAGUCUGAUGUGAAAGCCCCCGGCUCAACCGGGGAGGGUCAUUGGAAACUGGGAAACUUGAGUGCAGAAGAGGAGAGUGGAAUUCCACGUGUAGCGGUGAAAUGCGUAGAGAUGUGGAGGAACACCAGUGGCGAAGGCGACUCUCUGGUCUGUAACUGACGCUGAGGAGCGAAAGCGUGGGGAGCGAACAGGAUUAGAUACCCUGGUAGUCCACGCCGUAAACGAUGAGUGCUAAGUGUUAGGGGGUUUCCGCCCCUUAGUGCUGCAGCUAACGCAUUAAGCACUCCGCCUGGGGAGUACGGUCGCAAGACUGAAACUCAAAGGAAUUGACGGGGGCCCGCACAAGCGGUGGAGCAUGUGGUUUAAUUCGAAGCAACGCGAAGAACCUUACCAGGUCUUGACAUCCUCUGACAACCCUAGAGAUAGGGCUUUCCCUUCGGGGACAGAGUGACAGGUGGUGCAUGGUUGUCGUCAGCUCGUGUCGUGAGAUGUUGGGUAGUCCCGCACGAGCGCAACCCUUGAUCUUAGUUGCCAGCAUUCAGUUGGGCACUCUAAGGGUGACUGCCCG